GACAGAGGUGGCGACCGUUGUUCGGAAUCACUGGGCAUAAAGCGCGUGUAGGCGGCAUUGUAAGUCGGGUGUGAAAUCCCUCGGCCCAACCGAGGAAUUGCGCUCGAAACUACCUUGCUUGAGGAUCAGAGGGGAGCCUGGAAUUCCUGGUGGAGCGGUGAAAUGCGUUGAUAUCAGGAGGGACACCGGCGGCGAAGGCGAGGCUCUGG
rnacentral:rRNA from 1 species